AUGCAGAGACGGAAGAUGUUGCGACUGUGGAAGGAGCAAAGACCAGGAAAGGCCACAGCACAGGACCUCUUGAGGGGUCUGGAAGGGCUGAAGGUCCUACCGGACAAUACUCGUCGGUCAUUGGAAGGGUUUUGUGGGAAUCCGUCAUUCAGUAGCGGACAGGAAAGCUAUCCUGGUCCGACGUUCCCCAAAAUACCUUCCCACAAACCUCUGAUGACGUCAGGCAGUAGCGGACAGGGGAGCUUGUCCAAGUCUGAGCUGUCCGGCCCUGUGGACUCUGAGUCCUCACUUCCAUUUGCAAUGCAUGGUAGCACGCAGGGUGAGUUCAAUGGUGAAUCUCAAUUCACCCCUUCACCCAAACCCUCACCCCUACCCCUCACUUUUGCGCUUUCAUGCGCAGGGUAGCGUUUUCCUGAUUGUCAUUUUAUUGAGGUGUCAGUGGUAAGGGGGAGGGCUAACAUCUCUUGAAAGUAAGAUUUUCGAUGUGCAGACUAGCAAACGCGGGUUGUGAUGUAACAUAACCAGUAGGGCCGAGAUUUCACGUUCUACAUUUCACACACACCAGUUAAAAAGUAUAUCAUAUAAUAACAUAAUAAGAUCUCACAUAAUUUUUUUUAACAACGUAAAGUAAUGGUCUGUUGCCGUCGGUUACAUGUCGAUUGCGUAAUAUGGCCUUAUCCCCUUACUUCAGGGAAACACGAAAACAGUAAUCCAGAAGAGGCCUAAUGUAUUGACAUGAUGCGUCAAAAGCAAUCUAGCUUAAAAGUGUUCUCGACACGCCCAUUUUACCCAGGAUGCAGCGGUUGGUAUCUUGAAGGAACUUGGCAGCACAGAUACCACAGAAUUCAUUUUGGCAUUCCAGUGAGGAGCGGUAAACAAAAGAGCAGACCAAGAACGCAAUGUUUUUAUAACAACUUUCGCAUGCUAUCUCAUCACCAAAUUCACUUCUGAUAAAGUUUUAGGGGAGGAAUGUCCUUAAAAUAUAGUGCCGACCAAAACUAGAGAGAAGGCUCACCUCACCACCACCGCGGCCAUACAGAAACAGAUGAAAGGGUGGCGAGGGGAGAGAGCUAAGAACUAAUAUAAAAUGAUAGAGUUCCCUGUGACAUUCUUCCAUAGGAGUCACGAAUAAAUAGAUAAAUUAAUAAUAGAUCAGACCUGGAUGGACACAAUAACAAACAGACCGUGGUCAAAAAGGUAAAGAAAGAAGUUGUAUAAUGCUUAACCCAUUUAAGCCGGGAAAGCGUUUUUCUGUAUAAGGGGGGUUUUUGCCCAAAGUGUCGGCCUCUGGGCCAAUGAAAUGCAUCAGAAUAGACACAUAUAGGUGUCAACUUGUUCCUCGUGAGUUUAGUUCAGAAAUUUCUUCAAGCAAGUUUGGCGGAAAUUGAGACUGAAGACUUUUCUGACGGUAGCGAUUUCGAGGAGUUUCUCGGCUUCGAAGAUGUUGAUGAGGCCGAGUACUUUGAUGACGAAUACGAACCGAUUGACCGGGAAUUAUGGUUAAGGCACAUGUUCGUGAAUGACGACGAGGAAGAAGAAGAUGAUUUAGGGGAGUUUGAGGGUUUCCAGACCAACUGGAAGACGGACAACUACCAUCGAAAUCAACAGAGUGCCUUCAACAGGACACCAGGGGUGAAGCUCAGAGAUGCGUAAAGCACCCGGGUGCGUAAAACCAGAUAAGCUUCUCUGGAAUGUAACUUAUACUUAUCAAUAGUAAUACUUAUUGAUUGUGAUGAUGCUGUAAUAAGAAAUUACGACAGUUUAUAUGUAAGAGAUGUAUUACUGUCCCGGAGAUGCGUAAAGCACCCGGCUGCGUAAAACCAGAUAAGCUUCUCUGGAAUGUCACACCUAAGUGCGAUCUCCAGACUAGCAAUACAUCUCUUCCAAAGAAUAGAGCUUCUUUGGAAUUUCACACCUAACUGCGAUCUCCAGAACAAUAAGGCCUAGGCUACUAUACAUUCCCAAAUUAUAGCCUGUAUCUUUUAAUUACGCUACUUCUUAGGAUGGAAUGCAAUUGUAUUUGUAUUAUGCAUAAUACUUUUAUUCAGUAGUCAUCACAUACAAGUGCAUGUAAUUUAAAACACAGACAGUUUUUUUGCAUAGUAUUUUUAUUCAAUCACAUACAAGUAUAAAUAGUAGCUUAAUAGUAGAUUAUUUCUUUUACUGUUUUUUGCUGUUCCUGCACUUUUACAUAUUUUUUUACUUUUCUACCUGUAUGUAAAUAUUGUAAAUAUUUGUAAAUAAAAACUCAAAUUUCCCAUGAAAGCCACAGGUGUCAGCUCUCAAAUACUUUUUGAAUUGUGUUCCUAUCUGUUACAGGGGCUGAGAAACCAGUAAUUUAGUAGGCGUUGACACAAUUGCUGAAUUUCUGGAAAAACUUCAGGUUUUGGGGGCUUUUCUGAAAUCGCCUAUAGGUUUUACAGGCAUUUUUUCCAGGCGCUUUAGGCCUAAAUGGGUUAAUGCUUAAAUAUAAUGUGAGCCGGUCAGUGGUAAAACAAACACAUUAAGAGGACUUACAUCGACGGGCGCUUUGCCCCAAAUGAUCUGAUUGACGUUUUUUGUGGAUUACUGCUGCAGUGUUUUCAAUCAUUGCUGGAAGGAUCUUAUAAAUCACUCUCCCAUUAGUCACUUAGACCUAAAAUGAUAGAAAAUAGGCUCAAGGUUGAGAAAUCCCAAAGAUUUCUUUAACUCUUUGGAUCCAAAUCUAUGAUCAGCUGGUACUUCACAUAAUGCUACACCAACGAUACAUUCUGAUUCAUGGACUCACUUUGAUAAAUUCCAUGAUAUGUGACAAACAUGAUACAUAAUCAUGAUUGUUAUAUAUGUUUUCAGCAGGCGUCCUAAGCCUAAGCUCCGGGCGCUGGAGGAACAGAUGUUGGCAACAUGCACACACUUCCUGUUUUGCAACCACUACACUUACACAUGAGGAGCGCUUAGCAGACGCUGAAAGAGAAACAAGUUAUCUGUCGGUACAGUAAGGAUGUUCAUAGAACCCAUUGGUCCAAAACUCCUGCUUUGUUCUUUCCUGGCUGUCAGGUAUAACAGGGAAUUUGAUGAAUUCCCCAGCAUGUCGGACUCGACCUGACGUAACUGCAUGUAUAGCCAAACUUAUUUCCGAUUGUGAAAUGCUUCCAAUAGAACUAAGGGGAUGCUGGGACGACCCAGAUGCAUAGAAAUGCAGUGCCGCUGUAACUUUCACUUCAACGGGGAGGUCAUAGGGACAGCGUGCAUCAGUCCACAGCUCAUCUGCCAGGAGAUGGCAGAUAUCUGUGACAGCCUGACGGGUCAGGCGUAGCUUACGCCUGCAUUCCUCCUCACUCAGGGAGAGAUAGGUGUGUCUGGGCCGGUAGACCCUCUCCCCCCGGCGUCUGAUCCUACAAUUCGCGUGAAUAAUUUGGGUAAAUGUGUACGCUAGAUUUAUGCCUAUUUAUUUUAUCUUUAUGGACACCACAAUGAUUUUCCUUGUGUGGUAAUAUUUUAUUUUCCUUGUAAUUAUGUUUGGUUUGCAAAAAUGGGAACUGCUGUCCGUGUAGAUGAGAGAAGCAAAGUGUAUGCGCGAGGUGCACAAGCAAUCCGUAUGCAUCGCAUGCGCAUGUAUGCAUGCACCCUUAAAAUAGCAUCUGAACAACGCGCCACUGACUUUAAACCAGGUAUUUCCUGGUUAGUAGCGCAAUUGUAUGCUCCAGAACACGCCUCCUCCUUUCGCCGAAUUCCCUAAUUUACCGGCGAGUGGCGGUGGUGGGAAAAGAACGCUCUGCGCCAGUUGUAAACUAGCAACGACACAUGCGUCAGUGACUAAGUGACUUGCGCCGGAUGCAAGAUAGGGCCCAAAGACUUUACUUAGGCAGGUCGUUUUUUAUUUUUAAACGGUCUAUGUUAAAUAUGUUUAAUCUGUAUUAUAUACAGUCUAUGUUAAAUCUGUAUAAUAUACGGUUUAUGUUAUCUCAGUUCAACCAUGCGUCGUGUUGAGUUGUCAUGCAGUGUUACAAAAGUGAGUUGACCAAGGAUUUCCAACUCAAAAGCAGGUGAAAAAACCAAAAGGAAAAGCUGCAAUCGCUCACCAGGAAAGGCCAAAG
ensembl:lncRNA